rnacentral:rRNA from 1 species
GCAGUCGCCGCGGGAAUACGGAGGGGGCUAGCGUUGUUCGGAAUUACUGGGCGUAAAGCGCACGUAGGCGGCUUGGUAAGUUAGAGGUGAAGGCCCGGAGCUCAACUCCGGAAUUGCCUUUAAGACUGCCGAGCUAGCAGGUGAGAGAGGUAAGUGGAAUUCCGAGUGUAGAGGUGAAAUUCGUAGAUAUUCGGAAGAACACCAGUGGCGAAGGCGGCUUACUGGCUCAUACUGGACGCUGAGGUGCGAAAGCGUGGGGAGCAAACAGGAUUAGAUACCCCAGUAGUCCCUGUCUCUUAUAC